rnacentral:rRNA from 1 species
GACCGGCGCAAGGGUGCGUAACGCGUGAGCAACAUGCCCGUAUCAGGAGAAUAAUCCAGGGAAACUUGGUCUAAUACCCCAUAGUAAAUAUUAAAGGCAUCUUUAAUAUUUUAAAGCUUUGGUGGAUACGGAUUGGCUCGCGUGACAUUAGCUAGAUGGUAAGGUAACGGCUUACCAUGGCUACGAUGUCUAGGGGUUCUGAGAGGAAGAUCCCCCACACUGGAACUGAGACACGGUCCAGACUCCUACGGGAGGCAGCAGUGAGGAAUAUUGGACAAUGGAUGGAAAUCUGAUCCAGCCAUGCCGCGUGCAGGAAGACGGCCCUAUGGGUUGUAAACUGCUUUUAUAUGGGAGCAAUAAGGCCUACGUGUAGGUUGAUGAGAGUACCAUAUGAAUAAGCACCGGCUAACUCCGUGCCAGCAGCCGCGGUAAUACGGAGGGUGCAAGCGUUAUCCGGAUUUAUUGGGUUUAAAGGGUGCGUAGGCGGUUUGAUAAGUCAGCGGUGAAAUAUUUCAGCUUAACUGGAAGGGUGCCGUUGAUACUGUCAGGCUUGAAUUUAGUUGCUGUGGGUGGAAUGUGUGGCGUAGCGGUGAAAUGCAUAGAUAUCACACAGAAUAUCGAUUGCGAAGGCAGCUCACAAAGCUAAAAUUGACGCUGAUGCACGAAAGUGUGGGGAUCAAACAGGAUUAGAUACCCUGGUAGUCCACACUGUAAACGAUGAUAACUCGCUGUCGGCGAUACAUAGUCGNNGGCCAAGCGAAAGCGAUAAGUUAUCCACCUGGGGAGUACGACCGCAAGGUUGAAACUCAAAGGAAUUGACGGGGGCCCGCNNNNNNNGAGGAACAUGUGGUUUAAUUC